GAGGGUAUAGCUCAGUGGUAGAGUUUGUGCCUUGCAUGCACAAGGUCCUACGUUCAAUCCUCAGUACCUCCA